rnacentral:rRNA from 1 species
CCUACGGGUGGCAGCAGUGGGGAAUAUUGGGCAAUGGGCGCAAGCCUGAACCAGCCAAGCCGCGUGAAGGAAGAAGGCGCCAGGCGUCGUAAACUUCUUUUGUCGGGGAACAAAGGGCGCCACGCGUGGCGUUGUGAGUGUACCCGAAGAAAAAGCAUCGGCUAACUCCGUGCCAGCAGCCGCGGUAAUACGGAGGAUGCGAGCGUUAUCCGGAUUUAUUGGGUUUAAAGGGUGCGUAGGCGGCCUUUUAAGUCAGCGGUGAAAGUCUGUGGCUCAACCAUAGAAUUGCCGUUGAAACUGGGAGGCUUGAGUAUGUUUGAGGCAGGCGGAAUGCGUGGUGUAGCGGUGAAAUGCUUAGAUAUCACGCAGAACCCCGAUUGCGAAGGCAGCCUGCCAAGCCAUGACUGACGCUGAUGCACGAAAGCGUGGGGAUCAAACAGGAUUAGAUACCCUUGUAGUC